GAGUUUGAUUAUGGCUCAGGAUGAACGCUAGCGAUAGGCUUAACACAUGCAAGUCGAGGGGCAGCAUAGAGUCAGCUUGCUGAUUUGGAUGGCGACCGGCGGAUGGGUGCGUAACGCGUAUGCAACUUACCUGUCAGAGGGGGAUAACCCGGAGAAAUUCGGACUAAUACCGCAUACACUUGAGAUACUGCAUGGUAUUUCAAGGAAAUAUUUAUAGCUGACAGAUAGGCAUGCGUUCCAUUAGCUAGUAGGUGAGGUAAUGGCUCACCUAGGCUACGAUGGAUAGGGGAACUGAGAGGUUAAACCCCCACACUGGUACUGAGACACGGACCAGACUCCUACGGGAGGCAGCAGUGAGGAAUAUUGGUCAAUGGGCGAGAGCCUGAACCAGCCAAUUCGCGUGAAGGACGACUGCCCUAUGGGUUGUAAACUUCUUUAGUAGGGGAUUAAAGUUUGCCUUGCGAGGCAA
rnacentral:rRNA from 1 species